UUAUAAAUUAUAGUCAUUUUUUGAAGAAUUUCGAGAAAAAUUUCGGGAACCUCGAAAUUUCGCGAAACUUCGCACAGCCUUAGUAGCUACACCGCAAAAACGAAAACGUUAUCAAGUUCAUGUUACCGAGUGUAUUCUACACCACACAGUUCCCAUAAUGGUCCCCAGAUGUUUACAUGUGUCCAAAUGUGUCAUUCGCAGAUUCGGUCGUGGACAAUUUGUUGAAAGUGAACGUUUCCAUUAAUGUUCGGUAUCGGAUUUCUCAAUACAAACCGUGCGGAAAUACGAUGAAGCAGUCAUCUUACGCUGCAUAGAGUUGGCUUAGUAACGAGUCGACAAUAGACGCUCGAAAAGGGCCGCAGACUGUGCUUAGCGAGGAGGAGAAGCGUAAACUCGUCCAAUAUUUGGCUGCGAUGCAUAAGAAGGUUUUCCGGUAACGAAACAGUUACUGCUGCUUAGAGUAAAGACUCUUCGAAACUAAUUUACGACUCAAUCCGUUUAAAAACAAUGUUUCAGCUGUAGGUCGAAAAGGGUUGAAGGGUUCGUCGAUACUCUGUACCUUUCACAAACCGGAAGCCAGUGCAAAGGUCAGCGAGCGUGAUAUUCGUGAAUAUUUCGCGGCCCUAUGGUCCCACCUGAAGGAUAACAAUUUCAGGGCAGCAGCGUUGGUUUUAAGUCACAUUUUCAACGGCGAUGAAACAUCGUUCUUUCAACACACGCAGACAUAAGCCGUAGGGGAACUGUUCCAUUAUUCAUCUCAACCCAUAUAUUCAUCUCAUACAACAUGAAAACACAAUUGAAAACAGGAAAAAACAUAUAUUUUAUAACUAAACCAAUCUGCCAAUCCAUGGAAUGGAUUCUUCUUAGUUCACUUUUGAUUUCUCAUGAAGUAGAAUCCUCAAAAACUCACUUAAAAGCUCUAUCUGAUGUUAUAGUCGGGCAUCUGCAUUCGAAAACUGAUUUAAAACAAUCACCUACCUCAGAAAACAAAAUCCGCGCAACGUUCUAUACGCCUACAACGGGAUUCGUUCAGCAGCCAACCAAACUUUAUUAUAACUAGCGGACCACUUUUUAUUUUAAUCACUAAACAAAAUCACUCACUACACUAAGAAUACUUUAAUCUUUGAAAUGUUCACCUCAAAUUUUCAAAAACAAGCUUGAAUUAGCAAAAAUGUAUAAGAUGAAUUUCAACAGAUGAAUGGUACCUAUGUAUUUUCAUCUGUUUUCAC